GUACCUAUAGUACUUAGUUAUGGUGUUUUUAUGGUCUAUUUGCGGUUGUAUUGGCACUGUCAAGAUGGAACUUUGUAUAGUUGUGCAUCUUUAGGUUUCAUAAUUCAUGGGCAUAACAGGGCAUAAGUAGUGUCCUUCAGUUUACCGGCAAAAUCGUGAGCACCAUCAGUUCCCCCCUUUGAUUUUUUCUUGUUUGUCUUCUUGUGAUAUGGAAGUGCUCUAGAUUUUGUACUACGUGUGUGCCCUUUUUCAGCUAUGCAGUUACCCAGUUGUGAUUUUUGUG
rnacentral:lncRNA from 1 species